ACAUAUGCAUUUAAACUUAUAUAUACAGAAUGAAUGCAUGAAUUUAUAUGCAUAUUUACGACGAGGGAAUAACCAAUGUCGAAUAUAAAAUUAUAAUGCUUCAAAAAUUCUUCAUAUUUACGGCAAAAUGUAAAUUGUCAUCGUUGGGUGCUAUCUAUCCAUUCUGAACAAUGAAGGAUAGAAUUGGGAGCUUCUAAAUAUAAAAGGAGACUCGAAUUCAGUCGAAGAUAAGACAACUUCUCAUUUGAACUCUCGGAUAACUCUUUUCUCUAGCAAUUUGAACCCCAAGUUAAACCUCAACAUCAUUAUGUUGUCACGAAAAUUUCUGAUGGUUAUUUUGGCAAUGGCUGUUCUGUCUGGUGGUGAUUCUGCUGAUUCGUCCCUUCAGCGUAAUCCCAAGCAACUUCGCCCCUUCUGUUUGUGCUGGAUUUGGCAAAUCAUUACAGGAACUUGCCCCUGUUACCCAACUACAAAACCAACCACAACGACAAUGACACCAACAACCUCAAUGACGACAAGCCCAACACCUGCAAAUAAGACUGGUUGAAACUGCGGAAUUUUUAAAAUCUAAAGGGUUUUAACUAUAAUUUUGAUUUAUUUUCAAUUACAUUUCGAAAUUGGAUUUCAUUGUCAGACUUAAAAAUAUUUAAACCGUUACCGGAGAAAUUUAGUGGAGUUUAAUUAGGACGAUUCUUAAGUCAACCUGAAUUGAAUUCUUUUUUAAUGUUAUGAAUCCAAUCAACAUUGGUAUACAAUUAUUCCAAAAAUAUGUUUGGUUACUUCCUCAUUACUAAAGAAUAAAUAGUAUGCAUAGAACCAUAUACACAAUUUCCUAGAGUCCUACAUAAUUGUGUAACUCGUGUAUUACAGGAAAUAUAAGUAUUUCUGCCUG